UACGAAGGGGGCUAGCGUUGCUCGGAAUCACUGGGCGUAAAGGGUGCGUAGGCGGGUCUUUAAGUCAGGGGUGAAAUCCUGGAGCUCAACUCCAGAACUGCCUUUGAUACUGGGGAUCUCGAGUCCGGAAGAGGUUGGUGGAACUGCGAGUGUAGAGGUGAAAUUCGUAGAUAUUCGCAAGAACACCAGUGGCGAAGGCGGCCAACUGGUCCGGUACUGACGCUGAGGUGCGAAAGCGUGGGGAGCAAACAGG
rnacentral:rRNA from 1 species